AUGUAUAGCUUUUUCUCUCCCUUCUCUUUGCCCUCCCUUCUUCCUGCUACCAGUUGCAAGAUAGCUGGAGGUUGCUCACUAUCUGGGCUCCAUGAAGGAAAGAUGUGGGGAGAAGAGACCUUGAUCCUAACACUUGGAACUGCCAGCAAUCACUCACUUAUACAUCUCUUGCUGUUUGUGAAAGUAGACUCGCAAUCAAGGAUGGAGGAUUCAGCUUCCGGAGCUCCCCUGUAAUAGAGCAGAGAUGUAACAGCCUGCCAUUAAAGAUUGCCUGGAGUUCUGAAGAAGAUGUCACUAAAGAAGGAAAAAACACUUUAUUUCUAUCCCAAGAAAUAAGCAUUACCUUAUUGAAUGCCUCCUAGCUUUUGCCUGCUAUCAGUAUUUAUAUGUAUAUAGAUACGUAUUAACUCAUUGAGUCCUCACAAGGACACUAUGAGGUAAAUUCUUAUAUUUCACAGUUCUGGGACUGGGGCACAGAGCCAGUGAACAACUCUUGGGAGAUCACAUGUCUAAUGAGUAGCAGAGCAGCACUGGGCUGUCUUGCUCCACCAGCUCCAGAGAAGUUGGGUUAGUGAGGAUAAUGUGCAAGGCAAAGAGGGCAGUCAGCUUUUGUCCCUAUGACCUAUUUAGGACUAGGAUAUCACCUCUGAGCCUCAUCUUGCACCACCUUCGGGCACAGCCAUAGCAAUGCUGCUGUACAAUGUGGUCAGAAGAGGGAGAUCUUACAGUGUGGCCUUCCUGAGCUGCCUCCAGUGGCCUCCAGGAGAGGCUAACCCAAGAGCGGGGGGGCCCCCGGGGUGAUUUUGCACCCACCGUGGGCGCCAGGCUCAGGGACUGGAAGGAGACUGUGGCUGUCCUGCAGACAUCUGUGGCCAGCAGGAGCAGAGGACAGACAGGGUUAACCAGGUUAAUAGUACUCGGUGCUGACAAAGCCAGCCGACUGAAAGAGUCCUGCCAUAGAAUGGAACUCUGCAGCACAACAGCAGGCGAACAGCACCCAGGAGCCAGGGGUGUUGCCAUGGAGACCUGUGGAAGCAGAGUACAAGCAUUAAAGACUUUGACUCUUUAUUUCUCCUGGAGGACUCAGAAACCUUAUUCCCCACUCCCACUGCCAUGCACCAUGUCCUGACAGUGAGAAGUGCAGGCGAGCUGGGCUAGCUCAGGGACUAAAUGAUUUCUUUGCUUUUUCUUAUUUUUUAUUUUUAAAGAUUUUAUUUCUUUAUUUGAGAAAGAG
rnacentral:lncRNA from 12 species